rnacentral:lncRNA from 1 species
GGGGGGAGAAGGGCACAAACCGGGUACCGGCGCCGGCCCCGCCGCAUCCCGGAGCAUCCCGGAACAUCCCGGUCCCUUCCGAGCCGCCGCCGCCUCCGGUCUCCCGGGAAACACCAAUCAGCGCCGCCGGUGGGCGGGGCCAGGCGGAGGGCGGACCAAUGACUGGCUCUCCCGGCGGCCCCCGCGGCGUGAGGCGGCCGCCAUCUCGGCGGGAGGCGGCGGGGGCUCGGUGAGGGCCUCGGCCUGCGCCUCGGUCCAGGUCCCUGCCCGGGACUCGGAGCGGCGAGGGUUGGGGUGGGGGGAGCCGGAGAGAGACGGUGCCGCCCGGCGGAGCCCUCGGGCCCGGCGCGGCCUCCUUCGUGUGCCGGGGAGGCUCCCCCAGGCAGGGAGGCCUCAGGGCCCAAGCACAGGCCGCUUCCCUCCAAGGGGGGUCAGGGAGAGGCCUUCCCCUCAGCACCAUCCUCCAUGGGCACUUCGCACACUGCCUCCUUGGCAAAUCAGCCUGCAAUAGGGAAUUUCCCCAGUUAUUACUGUCGGAUAAGGGACAAGACCCAAAUCCAUGAAGCCCAGUGAGACGUAUUGACCCGCUCUGCUUCCAGUCCAGGUCGCACAGAAGCAGGCAGCCCAGUCUCCAGGUGGCACUUGGGAUGAGGAGAAGCCAUGCAAGGUUUGGCUGGUAGCUUGGCGUGAGUUGUAUGGAGUCAGGGGGAAAAGUAGCUUUCUCAGCAUCAGCGUUAGAGGCAUUGACUGACCCCCCUCUUCCCCCCUCCCCUGCAUUACAUACUCAUCUAAAAUCUACAGGUCAGCAGCCUGGCGUGAGGAAGUGUCCUGCUCCCGGCAAAGCAACGGCACAAGUUCAUCUAUGUUUGGACUCUGGCCCUGGCAGGUUACAAACAGCACCUAAAGGAUGGACAACCUUGGGAAGUGUCCUGUGCUGCCUGAGCCUCUUUCAAAACAGUAAAUCUGGAGGGGACUCUGCCACAUUUCCACAUGCUCCCUUUUCCCAAGUCAGAAGUUAGAGGUGCAGGACAAAAAGGCAGGGGGGUGGGGGGAGGAGAAACGGGACACUUUUGCUCCUAAAGCAGUGAAAGAGUAAUAAUAAUCACAGAAUCACAGAAUCUUCUAGGUUGGAAGGGACCUUAAAGAUCAUCUUGUCCAACCGUCAACCUAACUGACAAAAAUAGACACCCACACAACAAACAAGGAGCAUCAUCACUAAACCAGACCUCCCAGCACUACAUCAACCCGGCUUUUGAAUAAUAAUAAUAAUAAUAAUAAUAAUAAUAAAUAUAAAUAUAAAUAUAAAUAUAGUAUCA